UGUCCCCGGUGCCGCGACUCCGCAGGUCCCUCUCGCCGCCCGGUCCUCCCCUCCGUCCUCCCCGUCCCCCGCCCCUCCCCAGAGCGGCCCCGCUCCCACGUGACCCGCGGGCGGGCGCGUCGGGGGCCCGAGCCGCGCGCGACAGCGUCCGGGACGCGGCAGGCAUCGAGGCUACAGAAGAAGAGGAUCCAGGCAGCCCUGAUGAGACUUAACAAGCUACGGGCAGAUGGCAAUGGUGGAGAAUUCCCUCUUUCAGUGGACUAGGCUACCCGGCCAUAACACCUGUGCUACAGUCUACUGCGCAUCCAGUAACGGGCACCGAGGAUCCCUGCACCUCGUGACAAACACACUAGAAUGAUGACUGCCCAGGCUUUCCGUGGUGAUGCAGUGCAAAGAUGUGCAACUUCAUGGAAAAGAAGAAAUGCCAGGGAACUCACUAGAACGACAACAGAAGGUGAUGACAGAAUCAUCAGAGCAGUAGAUCGUUAGUACAAUUGGCUUGGUUGGUGUUGCUGCUACAGCAGCAGUUUGUUUUAUGUGCUAGGAAUGGAGUCCUCAAGUAUGGACUGCUCACUAAGAAAACCUCCAGGACCGGAGAGAUGGUUUAGAGCACUGGCUGCUCUUCCAGAGGUCCUGAGUUCAAUUCCCAGCAGCCACGUGGUGGCUCCUAACCGUAUAUAGUGAAAUUUGGUGCCCUCCGCUGGUGCACUGGCACACACGCAGGCAGAACACUGGAAACAUAAUAAAGAAAUAAAUCUUUAAAAAUUAAAAAAAAAAAAAAGAAAGAAAGAAAGAAAAAGAAAAUCUCCAAGGAAAACUGAGCCGGCAAGGAUAAAUUACAACACACAAACACAGAGACGUGAAAAUGCAAGGCACCAUGACUUCUCAACACUUAGACUGUACCAAGACUGUAACUCAACACUUAGAUUCAAAGACACUGAAAUGGGUAAAAUCCUGGAUGAAAAUCUCAAAAGCUGACUAACAAAAAUGACUAAUGAUCUCAUAAAGAAUACAAGCAAGCAGAUAAAUGACGUUCAGAAAUGGGUCCAGGACUCAGAAAAGAAAACUUGUAGCCUAAAGAAGUCGCCAAAAUGCAUGGAAAAAAAAAAUCAAUAAUAUGGAUGAAAAUAGAAAGUUCAACAAGGAAAUUGAGAUUCUGAAGGGGAAAAAAAACAAAUAGAAAUGUUAGAAUAAAAAAAAAAUCCCACAGUGAAAAGCACCACCAAUAACUCAAGUAAGCAAAAGUAAAAAUACCGGGAUGGAGGAGAACAAAAGGAGAGAUGGAGAGCGUUUACAUGUAGAUGCUAGAGAUGGCUCGGCAGUAAGGAGCACUUGCGGCUCUUCCAGGAAACUCGGGUUCUAUUCCUAUUACCCACACCAUGGCUCAGAACCAGUGGUAGCUCCAGUUCCAGGGGAUCUGGUGCCCUCUUCUGGCCUUCUCAGGCACCAGACACAUGUGCGGUACGCAAACAUAAGUGCAGGUGAAACACACACACACACACACACACACACACACUCAAAAAUGUCAAAAAUGCAAAGCAAUAUAUACUUAAUGAAUAUGCGCUGUUAGCAAUCAGGCACCUCACGCCCAGCUCCAAGGACCUGGCAACAAAAGGACACUUCGUUAUCAGCCUCCAACUUGCAACACACUUCCGCUGUUACCAUGAACUGCCUGUCCUCUCCCUGCGCAUGCGCUUCAUCACCUUCUAAAAGAACCUGUUCGCUCUGCUACCACCCCUCAGCCAGAGGGAGCCACUGUGUGCCCUCUCUUAAUAAACCUCC